rnacentral:rRNA from 1 species
AGGUGGUGCAGUCGGCCGUUCGUCUAGGUUCCGUACUGUAGAAGCACUCCUAGUUAAGUCGGGCAACGAGCGAGACCCACGUCCACAGUUGCCAGCAUACCCUCCGGGGUGAUGGGUACACUGUGGAGACCGCCGCUGCUAAAGCGGAGGAAGGAGUGGGCAACGGUAGGUCAGUAUGCCCCGAAUCUCCCGGGCUACACGCGGGCUACAAUGGUUGGUACAAUGGGCAUCUACCCCGAAAGGGGAAGGAAAUCUCUUAAAGCCAAUCGUAGUUCGGACUGAGGGCUGCAACUCGCCCUCAUGAAGCUGGAAUCCGUAGUAAUCGCGUUUCAACAGAACGCGGUGAAUACGUCCCUGCUCCUU